CCCUUAGAUGUUCUGGGCCGCACGCGCGCUACAAUGAUGAAUUCAACGAGUUUAUAACCUUGGUUGAAAAGCCUGGGUAAUCUUUUGAACUUUCGUCGUGAUGGGGCUAGACCCUUGCAAUUAUUGGUCUCCAACGAGGAAUUCCUAGUAACGCAAGUCAUCAGCUUGCAUUGAUUACGUCCCUGCCCUUUGUACACACCGCCCGUCGCACCUACCGAUUGAAUGGUCCGGUGAAAUCUUCGGAUUGAGACUUUGAUUUCUUCACGGAAAACGCUGUUUUAAAAAGUUGAUUAAACCUUACCAUUUAGAGGAAGGUGAAGUCGUAACA
rnacentral:rRNA from 1 species